ensembl:lncRNA
UGUAUCCCUCCUCUAUCCCCUGGUCAUGUAUCCCUCCUCUAUCCCCUGGUCAUGUAUCCCUCCUCUAUCCCCUGGUCAUGUAUCCCUCCUCUAUCCAGGUGUCUCACUGAGAGCCGUUUUAGCAACAAAACAUUUCACCAUGUCACUGGAUUUAGUUAGAAGUUCGGUACAAAAAAAAAUACCAAAAUGUCCUUACGUUGAUUACUUUUUACAAAUCCAAUCCGUUUUCCAUGUUGAUUUAAUGUCAUCGCAUUGAUUUUUUUUGUGGUUGGGUAGAGGGUAGCUAUCCCAGUGGGGAGUAGGGGGGGAGAAGAGGAAGAAUCAGAACACAAUCUGGUCACGCUGAAAGGAUUCACAGACCUUAAGACAUAUGGAGGACUAUGGCGACUUCCUGUAACCAUUAACUUUGGCACCGACUAUAUCACACCCAUGCGGAGAACCAUGUACAUUCACAAGCUGGCGAAUAACCAACGUUCCACCAAAAGGCCACAGAUGACUGACCAGUUCCAUCAGCUGUAAAACUGGUGAGGAAUAUUCUACUGAAUCUCUACUGUAUUGUAUGGAGGGUCAUUCAGAUCAAUUAUCUGACAGCAGGUUUCCAUUUUUUUAAACAUUUUUUUUAUAUUUGUUUUGUUUGUUCAUAUACAGUGUCUGAAAUGGCAGCCUGUUCUCUAAUAUAGCACAUUGCUUUUGACCUGACCCCUAUAGGUCAUAGUCAAAAGUUGUGCACUGUAUAGGGGACAGGGUGCCAUUUCAGACACAACCAUCUUGAGAGGAUUUAACUCAUCGGAUUUGAAUAUUAUCAUAAUUACCAGGGCUUUUAUUUUGAUUAUUCUAUUCUGUAUUUUUAAUUAGUUUUGUGAAUAUUCAUGUGAGAUCAUAGCCGGAUCAAUCUGCUGAUUAGGUGAGGUCAUCAUUACGACUCGGACGCCAGUGGUUAAAUGGUAAAGGCUGGUAGUACAGCUUAAAACAAGUCUUCGUACACACACACAAGCACGGGCGCGUGCACAUACACACACACACACACACACACAAACACAGGCACAGGCACGGGUGCGUGCACAUACACACACACACACACACACACAGGCACACACACACAAACACAGGCACAGGCACGGGUGCGUGCACAUACACACACACACACACAAACAAACACAGGCACGGGCGUGUGCACAUACACACACACACACACACACACACACACACACACACACACACAGGCACGGGGGAGCACACACACACACACAGGCACGGGCACGGGGAGCACACAGACACAGGCGCGGGGAGCACACACACACAGGCACGGGGGAGCACACACACACACACAAGGCACGGGGAGCACACACAGGCACGGGCGCGUGCACAUGCACACACACACAGGCACGUGCACACACACACACACAGGCACGGGCGCGCGCACACACACACACACACAGGCACGGGGGAGCACACACCCACAGCACACAUAUUAUAAAUACUUUAUCUGAAUCCACAAAUCAUACUCAAGAAGGAUUUCCAAGGUCUUUGUAUGCAUGGACAGAGAAACCAUCAAAUAUCCAGGCCCAUAAUACACACCGACACCGAGAAAACAGCUUAAUGAAGUGUUUUUUUGCUGAGGGCAAAAUAAUAAUAAUAAUAUAUAUAAUAUAUAUAUAAUAAUAUAAUAGUAGCGUAAUGUUUACCUGUCUGUGUCGGGGCCUCUACAUCUCUCGCUCCUCCUGUUAUGUGUUCUAGACGAUUUACACUGCAGCUUGUCGCACCACCUCGCUCACUGUAUCAUUCAUUACAUCAGUGCUGCCAAUGCUUAAAGGAAAACUCUACCCAAAAACUAGAUUUUGGUAAUUCGUUUCAUUGGUCCAAAAACUAUCCAAAAGAGAGUUUUGGGGUGGAAUUUCCCUUUAAAUAGAUAGACAAACAGACAUGUUUUUCCAGUGACAUUUCACCUGAAAGAACAACUAAGAUUAUUGCACUGCACAGCACCAAUGGCUUCUUCUUAGACGGACAGCGUGUGGGGAAAACGUCAUGCCGCAUUACAUCUUUAUGGGACUUCCUACGCUAGUCUAAUGUCUGUGUUCAAAAGAUAAUUGCCAUCUUUCUCAUUCCCCCCGCAUCCAUUUGUGCUGUAUCAGUUUCCGUCUCGUCUUUGAACUGCCAUUUUGUUAUUUUGCCUUUCCACUAAGCCUCUGUGUGACCUUCAGAAAGUACGACUCAUCAUUGCAAUGCAAAACGCCAACCAAGCAGCAACAGUAGCAACUAGCAAAACAAAACAAAAUGGCCACCUAUAGAGAACCACAUCCUGCAAGGUCAAGAGUCAAAGAGGCUCCUUAUCCUUCAUCACACAGCCCACACAGUAUAAUGCAUUCCUCUCUCUCUCUCUUUAACGUACCUCAGCCUACUGUUAUUGCUUUAGGAGGGAGGAUUUAAUGGUGUACCUAUUGGCCCUGGCGAUACCUCAUCUCCUCUAUGCAAUGAAUGGUUGUAUAAGGACGAUCUCAAUGGCGGAUGCUUAUUCACGGUAGUCCUUGAGGGAGAGAGAGAACAGUUAUAGACACACCUUUUACAACUGGAGGAAAGAAAUGACAGUGAUGUAAAAAAAAGUACCCAAUUGUCAUACAUGAGUAAAAGUAAAGAUACCUUAAUAGAAAAUAACUCAAGUAAAAGUCACCCAGUAAAAUACUACAUGAGUAAAAGUCUAAAAGUAUCUGAUUUUAAAAUGUACUUGACUACAGUGGUGGAAAAAGUACCCAAAUUGUCAUACUUGAGAAAAAGAUAUACAUCAGAGUGUAUUUUUUAAAAGUCUGCUUAGUAAGUACGCCAGAUCAGAGGCAGUAGGGAUAACAAUGCAUUAUAUUGAUAUCUGUGUGAAUUGGACCAUUAUUCUGUCCUGCCUGAGCUUUUGACAUGCACUGUAGAGUGUACUUUUUGGUGUCAGGGAAAUUGUAUGGGAGUAAAAAGGAAAUAUUUGAUUUAGGAAUGUAGUUGAGUAAAAGUCAAACGAAUCAAAAUAUAAAUAGUCAGAAAGUUAAGUACAGAUAGCACAUAAAACGACUUAAGUAGUACUUGAAAGUAUUUUUUACCUAAGUACGUUAUACCACUGAGAAAGAGAUUGACUGUAAGGGAUCUUCUUGUUGGGAACACACGGUUCAGUCUUUAGUUCAACAUCUGAAUGAAUAUGCAGAGUUUCAGGGCGUAGAGUUGAAAAGAUUAACCCACUUGGUUAAUUAACACUAAUACACAAUGCUAAGGAGCAGCCUUCGGCGGUCUGGAUGGCUGUGUUGGAGCCUGCAGAUGGAGACCAGACACACAAUACAACAUCUGAAUGAAUAUGCAGCUCAGAGAGAUUCAGAGUUGUAAUUGUCCAAGAGAACAACUUCAAUGAUGUACCUGGUUAAAUAAUGACAACACAUAGAGAAAUGGUAGCAGCCUUUCAGACAGUAGCACACAACAUCUGAACGUACAUUUUAAAUAAGAUAUAACACGUGUCUUGGUGACACUAGUAUGGUUUCAUAACUCCUAUCCUCCCCCCCCGCAAGGUUGUGUUUAUUUUCCUACUCCGGCACUAGUUAUCUGAAUCAACUGUUCAGUUUAUGAGACGCUUGAAUCAUGUCUUGUUACUGCUGUGAUAGAAUAAAACACGUGGAAUCUAAUGAGGCACUCUACCAUUUGUUUCAACUGUGCGCUCUAAGUCCAACACGAGAAUUUAAAAAAAUAUCCUAACUCCAUUUAGUGCUUUUAAUAUUUCUGAAUUCAUAACAGCUUUUAAGUGUUCUAAACAUCCUGUCAGGCAACUGAGAAUUCUAUAUGUUAUCAGCCUGAGGUAUUUCACAAGGACCUUUCCACUGUAAACUUGGCUGCUUUGCUGUUAAUUGAAAGGUAUUUAGCGGUCAUUGAGUUAUUUCAUUGCUCUAAACAACUUAUAUCUCACUGAAACACAUUUCCUCCGGGUUGUAGUAUACAAAGCCUUCCGCUUUCAGAAAAUUAACGCAAAUUAUGUUCUGAAUCUGUCUGCAAAAUCGUAAUCCAACUUUCUUGGAAACCGGAGGCUUGUAUGUAUUUUGGUUCCAGGAACGGUUGUGACUGAGGAAAACAUGAGUGAUUUUAAUCUGGUUCUUAUUUAUUUCAGUUCAGUUCAGGGCUCAGACACAAACCAAUCAUCAAACAGCUUGACUCCUUACGUUUCCCGUUUCAGGGUGACUCUCAAUGAAGCGCAACAGCGCCAUCUAGCAGACCGUUUGUGGAAUUGCUGCAUGUGUCAGCAAUUCCACAAACGGUGUCCUAGAUGGCGCUAAUUGCGCUGCAUUGCUUUUUUCUCUCUCACUUUACUCGAGCAGAGGUCUACGUCGCAAAAAACACAGCAAUUUAGUUAAGUGAACACACAUUAAUCGGAUGUAUUGAUCAGUCAUUAAAGCACUGGAAGGCAGAUGAGUAAGACAUGCUGAUACCAAAGCACUGUGUGCAGUCUCUCUAGCUUUAUCCCUCUUACUGACAGCUGUGGCUGUUUCAUGUGAUAUAUUGUUGUCCUCUACCUUCUUGCCCUUUGUGCUGUUGUCUGUGACCAAUAAUGUUUUGUACCCUGUUUUGUGCUGCUACCAUGUUGUGUUGCUACCAUGCUGUGUUGCUACCAUGCUGUGUUGCUACCAUGCUGUGUUGCUACCAUGCUGUGUUGCUACCAUGUUGUGUUGCUACCAUGCUGUGUUGCUACCAUGUUGUGUUGCUACCAUGCUCUGUUGCUACCAUGUUGUGUUGCUACCAUGCUGUGUUGCUACCAUGCUGUGUUGCUACCAUGCUGUGUUGCUACCAUGCUGUGUUGCUACCAUGCUGUGUUGCUACC